AUACCUACGGGGGGCAGCAGUGAGGAAUAUUGGUCAAUGGCCGAGAGGCUGAACCAGCCAAGUCGCGUGAGGGAUGACGGCCCUACGGGUUGUAAACCUCUUUUGUCGGGGAGCAAGACCCGCCACGAGUGGCGGAGCGAGAGUACCCGAAGAAAAAGCAUCGGCUAACUCCGUGCCAGCAGCCGCGGUAAUACGGAGGAUGCGAGCGUUAUCCGGAUUUAUUGGGUUUAAAGGGUGCGUAGGCGGACAGUCAAGUCAGCGGUAAAAAUGCGGUGCUCAACCCCGUACAGCCGUUGAA
rnacentral:rRNA from 1 species